AGGGAAAGUUUUUAAAUUAACCCUGCGAUGACAUUUUCUUUUUCGUGGUGAAUGAUGAAAUUCAGACACAGGGGAAAUGCUUAUUUGGUUUUUUUUACAUAGUGGAUACUCAGCUGGAACAUUUUGCUCGACUGCAUAUUUGAAAAAAGUUCCCUUGGGAGCCGUGAUGAAGCAAAACCAUUUAGCUAUUACAACUGGAGGUUAAAAAAAAAAAAUUACAGAUGCAGUAUUUAAAACACUUUAAAAGUAUUUGUUUGUCUAAAAUAUAAUAGAAAAUCCUUUACAUUUGUAUUUUUUCAUAAUUUUUUGGUUCUUAGACUAUAUAAUCAAGUCAAGAUUUACACUGUACAUUAAAAAUCUUCUUUUGAAUGUAUUUGCAUAAAUGGACAGUGAGCUGUUAAAGAAAAGAAUACUGGUAAAAAGUUAGUUAGCGAGAUAAGAACUAAUUCAGAAAUGAAUGAUCCUCAGAAUUUUGCAUUCCCUUCCAGGCUCGCCCAGCUUGUUACAGUGCCUCACGCUUCAGUUGUUUCACUCUUCCUCCUGCAUGGAGAAGAGCCACCCUUCUCAAACCCAAGACUCCUCUAAAAACCAAAAACACAGUCUUAGAGGAUGAGAACUUUGCCUCGGAACAAAGCAUGUUCAGGGCUAGAGGAUUUGCUGGAAAUAAUGUGAAUUAGCUUUUGCUGUUAAAGAUGCAGCUCAAAAUGUUUGAACAUCUAUCACCAGCCCAGAGCCUGCUCCCUGGGUAAGCAGUGGGAGGCUUUGCCGUUGACAGAUUUGAGAGCAAAAUCAGGUCCCAGUAUAAAGCAAGGCAGUGUAAUUAACUGGCAUCAUCUCUGUCUGAUUUUCCCAUCAAUCACUGGUACCACUCGGGGAUGCAAAUCAGUCUCGCUGAGAGGCAGGCCCAGAGUCCAAACAAAAACCUUAAUUGUGGCAUAAGGCUCUUUUCCAGACCCUCUUUGCAGGACUGAAUUUUAUCCAGAGUGCAGUGGGAUUUGCCAUUCUUGCAGUGCUUUUUAGCAGCUGCAUGCCUUCUAAAAAUUAUUUAGUGUCCUAAUGAGACAAUUUCUUACCCGCACUAAACGGGUGUUAAGUGCCAUUAAAGUCAGUGAAGCUACACACCGCUGUCUGCCAGGUCAGGAUCGGUCCACAGAUGCUUAAAUGAAUGCCUGCAGAGAGCAGGUCUUUCCCUGGGAAUUAAAACUGGCAUUUUUUGGCUGGUCAGAACCGUUAGGCUGAUUUAUUUCUCAUUUAUAGCCUGUGAAACCUGAGGCUGUUAGCUUUUGUUGCUAGAACAAUGCAACUGGGUUAGGGAACAGAACUUUUCUGAAUUAUUAUAUACUACAUGGAUUUUUCUAUGUUAAUGACUGGCAGUGCAAAAGAAUUGCUCUGAUUCUCAGGUGUUUCUCGGUGUGCCUGUACCUCACUGCAGAAGCUCACAGGGCUGCUAGCAUCAACACAGCUGGCUCUCAAUCGUGCUUCACCUGGGGCUGCACCACUUUUGCCUUUCACUGUUUAUUAAAAACACUAAAUCAGGAGCAUUUCUUUUUUUUAAAAGCCAAAUGCUCAGUGCAGCCCAGCUGCGGGUGAAGAGCUAGUGAAAGCAGCAGCCGCGCCGACAGUUUUUAGCUGGGCUUGAGGUUUUUGCUUGUUCAUCACCAUUCUUUGAGAAAAAGAGAGGGAAGCGAGAAAACCUUGGAAUGAAAAAAAGCAGGGGAUAAAACAAGAAAAAGCUGGGGGAUGAAAAGGUUUUGGGAAGGCAAAAGGAAGGUGUGAGAACAACUGGAGGAGAAAAAGGCCAGGGUAGGGGCGAGAGGAGAAGGGGGAGGUCUAGACAAAAGAACAUGUUAUUUGGGCUUGAUUUUGUC
ensembl:lncRNA